CGCACAGCGCCUCAACUGCUGACCGGUACUCUGGUCCUGUGCACCCCAGAGCUUUGAGAGCCCAUAGGCUGUUUGAAACAUCUUGCGGCUUGAAGCCGUGGCCCGCCACCGUUCUCAAGCGAGAAGCCACAGCUGCCGCCAAGGUCUGCAAGUGCGGAGAUGAGGUGGGGUCCCAGCCUGAGCCCCGCUGCUGCUGGUCUUGCUUGAGCUUGCCGAGCGCGUACAUGACAAUUGCGAGGUUCUGAGGUUCCGCCUUCCCAAGAACCUCAGGAUCCACUAGCCGCUCCAGCAGAGCUGCUGCAAGCUGAGCCUCCGUGCCGCCGCCGACCAAUCCAGCUUUGCCCAGCGCCCACAGCGGAAUGCUGCAGUUCUUUGCGUUGCGGAUGCGCGGCACGAGCGGCAGGUAGGCCGGCGCAAGCAUGCCGAUAAUGCUGCUGCGUGCUACAGCCGUUUGGCUUGCUCCAGCGCGCGACUCCAGCUGCGUUCAAAGCAGUUAUGAGGGACAUACAUGGGGUCAAGUGCUAUAUGCAUGUGUUUGUGCGUGUGCGUGAACAGGUGCGCAUGCAAGUCCUGUGUGGCCAUCUGCGUCGUGAGAACCGGAAGUCCGGGCCGAGAACGACAACAAUGGACUCGCCCUCCAUUCUGCACUUCAUUUCUGUGCCCAUUCCCACCUGCACGUAUUAGUCCUCCCUCUCACCUUGCCGCACAGGUUGAACGCCGCACACAUGGUAAUGAAGUCUUUUCGGCCCUCCCACACUGAUAGCCGCUGGCUGAUGAUUGCUUGCAGCUCCUCCAGAGUCCGACACACGGUCAUGUCAUCCGCGGGGUCACGCCCGCUGCCCCUGCUUCUGCCGCUGGCGCGGCUGCCAUCGCCUGCCCUGCCUCCGCCGCUUCCCCUACCCGCCGCCGCCUGCACUAUUGGCCGCCCGAGGCGGGAGCUACUGCUGCCGCAGAGCACUACCGCCGUCGAGACGCGCAGUGGGGAUGAGCUGCUACUGUUGAGUGCUGGGACAGAAGUAGCGGCGGCAGCGCGCGGUGAGCUGGGGCCGGUGUCGGCAGCGGUCCGAUGCAUGCCAUAAACGAACAGUCUUCUAAACGCGCACGCCGGUGGCGGUGCCUGGAGACGGGCUGAUAACGAUUGGCUACAGCCAUGUACGCUGUGCCUGUGCGCACCAGCGGGAGAGCCCGCGACGACGCGCAGGGCGAGCAUCUCGGGCCUCCUCACGGCGGCGACCUGAGCUAUAGCGACUCUAUCCGUCUACGUGUCUGAGCACUGCAAAUGCAUUAGGCUUGCAUUUGUGGGAGAAUAACGCAAGGAACGAAAGGUCAGGUGCGUGUAGGUCGCUGGGCCAAAGCCGCCUGAGUAGCUGUGGCUUGGUAUGGAUGAUAAAGCAACUGAAUCAAUUUGCCACCGGUGUUGAGGCGAGGGCGACCUGACCGCGAAAUACACGGCCCGAGGGCACGCCCCGUAUCAACACCCCUCGCGACCUCCAAACACGUGCACUGAACCGCGAAGCCCUCCCCCAAGCCUAUCGCGGCUGCUAUUCCCAUGUCCUCCUCCCCAACCAUUCUGCAUACAGGCUCUGGCGUGAGUCCCUGCCCGCGUCAUUUGACACCCGUCGACCACGACUGAGGUGCAACGCAUGUCGCUUACAAAUCCAACAUCCCGCCCGACACGAGAGGGGCAGAAACGGCGGGGCAGACGGCCAGCCUCUUGAACAUGAGCAUAGCAGUGCAAUAUCGCACAUUGGGUCCCCGCCUGCUUCACCUGGCCACCUUUGCUGAUUUGUCUGACAUCCCUGUCUACACACUUUUAUCCGCCCACGCUUGAGACGUCCUCCUCAGCGCGCAGGCUUCACGGUACCAACCGUGCGGUAUCAUCGCUACAUGAUGAGUGCACUGCCCCAACCAUUGAAGCAUCACAAGGUGCUUGCCUGCCGCCGCCGCCGCUGAUACGUACACGAUUGCUGCCACACAACCAACACAUCACACCCAACAAUCACAACAACAAAACAACUGAGACCCGCCGCCGUGCAACGCACACUGUACACGCCCCAGGGCCGAGAACACAACGCAACACAAGCACCUGACAUGCCUCAUCCAGGCAUGCGUCACUCAAUCGCCCACCGAGCCGACCUCGCACACGCCGUUCGUGAGCCCCUGCGGCUGACAUGCCCGGCCCUGCCCCCUUGGCACCGCAGCCCUGCCGCCUUGGCACCGCCGCCCAUUGCCCCACCCCCAUGCUGCGUGCCAUGUAAGAAUAAAGCCAGGUCCCCAUCAAGCCGCAGCAUAUAUCCCCGCCAAGCCACCAGACUCCUCUUGCCGCACGCUACCAACCACCACCAGCACAGGACCGGCACCUGCCUGUCCCCCUGUUUAGUUUGGGCUGAUAUUUACAACCCCCCACCCUCCCCUCCCCACCUUCCCCAUUGCCAACCUCGCCCACCGCGCCGACAUGCACGCCGGCACCUCGCUCGUGCCUCUCGAGGCCUCCCAUCUUCCGUAGCUAGAGAUCCCUGUCCACGAGUAUCCACUUGGGCUCCAGCCCACUCCUGAUGCACACGCCGGCAUUACCCAGGUCUGCAUGGUUUGCAUGCCUGCCUGUCUACCGUGCACGCACACCUGCCUAGCUACGCAGACCUACUACCGUCCUUUUUGACCCGCCUCCGCCGCCACCGCCGCCGUCUCCUCCCUCUGGCCGCCGUGCCGGCCGCGCCAGCAGCUGCUGUUGUGGGUUGCCGCCAGAGCCGCCGCCGCCCUUGUUGCUGUUGGUGGUGGUGGUUGCGGGCUGGUGUGGCGCGGCCGUAGUGACAGCCGCAGCGCCGCCCACGGCACCCGCUGUCACUGUUUCCACCGCCACCGCCGGCUGCUGCAGCCGGCGCAGCAGGUAGGCCUCCUGCUCGGAAGGAGUCAGGAAGUCCCAUUCCCAGUACGGCACUAGUAGGACGCCGCCCUCCUUAAACGCCCGCCGCAGCUGCCGAAUGCGAAUGGCCGUACCCCCUUCCACAGCAGCGCUGGGGUCUUGCUGCUGCGUUUGUGUCAAGAGGUAACGUUUCGGUCCGAGGAACUCCACCGCCGCCUGCUGCCCGUCACUCAGCCGCACCACCGCAUCCACUGGCGCCAACACUCCUGGCGCGACAACGCCCGUCUGAAGGGACUGAACGGCUAGGCCCCCUGCUGCCUUGAGGCCCUGCUGCUCAAGCCGCCGCAGCGCUGCAACGACCUGCUUUUGAGUAUCUGAUGUGGGCUUGGCGUCUUCCCUCUCAGUAGUCACCGCCGCUGCCAUCGCCGCCUGCAGUCCGCUGCCGCUGCCCAGGGCCGCCGCCACCUCGCCGCCUAGCUCCUGCUGCGCCUGCCACAGCUGUUUGAGAUGCUCAGUUGUAAGACCCUCCCAACGGCUUACUGCUUCACGGGCCAGCUGAAUGGAUAGCUGCUUCAUGUCGGGAGAAUACGUGCCUCCGAACACAGCCAUGGCCCACAGGCUGUUGCAUACGUGCUGGUGCAGGACUGUGUCAGAGUCAUGCUGCAGCAGCUCGCCCAGCCGACCGCACACCGCCGCCUCCAAGCCAGCGUGCCGCAGCUGCAGCACCGCCAGCGCGUACAGCGUAUUGGCACAGUUCUGACCACCGGCACUACUGGCGCGCAUGGCUGCUACUGCUGCGCCCGAGUCAAGCAGCUCCGCCGGCGGCUGGUGGCGCAUCAACGCAAGCGCGUACAGCAGAUUGGACCAGGCCUGAGAUGUUGCGCGGGCCAUGGCGCCCGACUGCGUUGCUGCGUCCACCGCUGCUGAAACCCACUGCCGCUGCUCGGCCGGCGCCUCCGGGCCCGCCCCAAAUCCCAUCUUGGCUAGGGCCCACGCUGAGUUGCUGAGGUCCUGAGCGAUGUACCCGUCAAACCCCCGCCGCACGUCCUCUGCGGCCACUGCCACCACCAGCUCUGCCUGCUCGCUGCAUAGCUGCAGCCCCUCCAGCGCCAGCAGGAUGUUGGAUAGCUGUUGCGGGAUAAAUGCUGCAGCGAGCUCCGGUUUCCGGAGCCGCUGCAGUGCCUCCCCGCACAGCGCCUCAACUGCUGACCGGUACUCUGGUCCUGUGCACCCCAGAGCUUUGAGAGCCCAUAGGCUGUUUGAAACAUCUUGCGGCUUGAAGCCGUGGCCCGCCACCGUUCUCAAGCGAGAAGCCACAGCUGCCGCCAAGGUCUGCAAGUGUGGCGAUGAGGUGGGGUCCCAGCCUGAGCCCCGCUGCUGCUGGUCUUGCUUGAGCUUGCCGAGCGCGUACAUGACAAUUGCGAGGUUCUGAGGUUCCGCCUUCCCAAGAACCUCAGGAUCCACUAGCCGCUCCAGCAGAGCUGCUGCAAGCUGAGCCUCCGUGCCGCCGCCGACCAAUCCAGCUUUGCCCAGCGCCCACAGCGGAAUGCUGCAGUUCUUUGCGUUGCGGAUGCGCGGCACGAGCGGCAGGUAGGCCGGCGCAAGCAUGCCGAUAAUGCUGCUGCGUGCUACAGCCGUUUGGCUUGCUCCAGCGCGCGACUCCAGCUGCGUUCAAAGCAGUUAUGAGGGACAUACAUGGGGUCAAGUGCUAUAUGCAUGUGUUUGUGCGUGUGCGUGAACAGGUGCGCAUGCAAGUCCUGUGUGGCCAUCUGCGUCGUGAGAACCGGAAGUCCGGGCCGAGAACGACAACAAUGGACUCGCCCUCCAUUCUGCACUUCAUUUCUGUGCCCAUUCCCACCUGCACGUAUUAGUCCUCCCUCUCACCUUGCCGCACAGGUUGAACGCCGCACACAUGGUAAUGAAGUCUUUUCGGCCCUCCCACACUGAUAGCCGCUGGCUGAUGAUUGCUUGCAGCUCCUCCAGAGUCCGACACACGGUCAUGUCAUCCGCGGGGUCACGCCCGCUGCCCCUGCUUCUGCCGCUGGCGCGGCUGCCAUCGCCUGCCCUGCCUCCGCCGCUUCCCCUACCCNNNNNNNNNNNNNNNNNNNNNNNNNNNNNNNNNNNNNNNNNNNNNNNNNNNNNNNNNNNNNNNNNNNNNNNNNNNNNNNNNNNNNNNNNNNNNNNNNNNNGAGAAUAACGCAAGGAACGAAAGGUCAGGUGCGUGUAGGUCGCUGGGCCAAAGCCGCCUGAGUAGCUGUGGCUUGGUAUGGAUGAUAAAGCAACUGAAUCAAUUUGCCACCGGUGUUGAGGCGAGGGCGACCUGACCGCGAAAUACACGGCCCGAGGGCACGCCCCGUAUCAACACCCCUCGCGACCUCCAAACACGUGCACUGAACCGCGAAGCCCUCCCCCAAGCCUAUCGCGGCUGCUAUUCCCAUGUCCUCCUCCCCAACCAUUCUGCAUACAGGCUCUGGCGUGAGUCCCUGCCCGCGUCAUUUGACACCCGUCGACCACGACUGAGGUGCAACGCAUGUCGCUUACAAAUCCAACAUCCCGCCCGACACGAGAGGGGCAGAAACGGCGGGGCAGACGGCCAGCCUCUUGAACAUGAGCAUAGCAGUGCAAUAUCGCACAUUGGGUCCCCGCCUGCUUCACCUGGCCACCUUUGCUGAUUUGUCUGACAUCCCUGUCUACACACUUUUAUCCGCCCACGCUUGAGACGUCCUCCUCAGCGCGCAGGCUUCACGGUACCAACCGUGCGGUAUCAUCGCUACAUGAUGAGUGCACUGCCCCAACCAUUGAAGCAUCACAAGGUGCUUGCCUGCCGCCGCCGCCGCUGAUACGUACACGAUUGCUGCCACACAACCAACACAUCACACCCAACAAUCACAACAACAAAACAACUGAGACCCGCCGCCGUGCAACGCACACUGUACACGCCCCAGGGCCGAGAACACAACGCAACACAAGCACCUGACAUGCCUCAUCCAGGCAUGCGUCACUCAAUCGCCCACCGAGCCGACCUCGCACACGCCGUUCGUGAGCCCCUGCGGCUGACAUGCCCGGCCCUGCCCCCUUGGCACCGCAGCCCUGCCGCCUUGGCACCGCCGCCCAUUGCCCCACCCCCAUGCUGCGUGCCAUGUAAGAAUAAAGCCAGGUCCCCAUCAAGCCGCAGCAUAUAUCCCCGCCAAGCCACCAGACUCCUCUUGCCGCACGCUACCAACCACCACCAGCACAGGACCGGCACCUGCCUGUCCCCCUGUUUAGUUUGGGCUGAUAUUUACAACCCCCCACCCUCCCCUCCCCACCUUCCCCAUUGCCAACCUCGCCCACCGCGCCGACAUGCACGCCGGCACCUCGCUCGUGCCUCUCGAGGCCUCCCAUCUUCCGUAGCUAGAGAUCCCUGUCCACGAGUAUCCACUUGGGCUCCAGCCCACUCCUGAUGCACACGCCGGCAUUACCCAGGUCUGCAUGGUUUGCAUGCCUGCCUGUCUACCGUGCACGCACACCUGCCUAGCUACGCAGACCUACUACCGUCCUUUUUGACCCGCCUCCGCCGCCACCGCCGCCGUCUCCUCCCUCUGGCCGCCGUGCCGGCCGCGCCAGCAGCUGCUGUUGUGGGUUGCCGCCAGAGCCGCCGCCGCCCUUGUUGCUGUUGGUGGUGGUGGUUGCGGGCUGGUGUGGCGCGGCCGUAGUGACAGCCGCAGCGCCGCCCACGGCACCCGCUGUCACUGUUUCCACCGCCACCGCCGGCUGCUGCAGCCGGCGCAGCAGGUAGGCCUCCUGCUCGGAAGGAGUCAGGAAGUCCCAUUCCCAGUACGGCACUAGUAGGACGCCGCCCUCCUUAAACGCCCGCCGCAGCUGCCGAAUGCGAAUGGCCGUACCCCCUUCCACAGCAGCGCUGGGGUCUUGCUGCUGCGUUUGUGUCAAGAGGUAACGUUUCGGUCCGAGGAACUCCACCGCCGCCUGCUGCCCGUCACUCAGCCGCACCACCGCAUCCACUGGCGCCAACACUCCUGGCGCGACAACGCCCGUCUGAAGGGACUGAACGGCUAGGCCCCCUGCUGCCUUGAGGCCCUGCUGCUCAAGCCGCCGCAGCGCUGCAACGACCUGCUUUUGAGUAUCUGAUGUGGGCUUGGCGUCUUCCCUCUCAGUAGUCACCGCCGCUGCCAUCGCCGCCUGCAGUCCGCUGCCGCUGCCCAGGGCCGCCGCCACCUCGCCGCCUAGCUCCUGCUGCGCCUGCCACAGCUGUUUGAGAUGCUCAGUUGUAAGACCCUCCCAACGGCUUACUGCUUCACGGGCCAGCUGAAUGGAUAGCUGCUUCAUGUCGGGAGAAUACGUGCCUCCGAACACAGCCAUGGCCCACAGGCUGUUGCAUACGUGCUGGUGCAGGACUGUGUCAGAGUCAUGCUGCAGCAGCUCGCCCAGCCGACCGCACACCGCCGCCUCCAAGCCAGCGUGCCGCAGCUGCAGCACCGCCAGCGCGUACAGCGUAUUGGCACAGUUCUGACCACCGGCACUACUGGCGCGCAUGGCUGCUACUGCUGCGCCCGAGUCAAGCAGCUCCGCCGGCGGCUGGUGGCGCAUCAACGCAAGCGCGUACAGCAGAUUGGACCAGGCCUGAGAUGUUGCGCGGGCCAUGGCGCCCGACUGCGUUGCUGCGUCCACCGCUGCUGAAACCCACUGCCGCUGCUCUGCCGGCGCCUCCGGGCCCGCCCCAAAUCCCAUCUUGGCUAGGGCCCACGCUGAGUUGCUGAGGUCCUGAGCGAUGUACCCGUCAAACCCCCGCCGCAUGUCCUCUUCGGCCACUGCCACCACCAGCUCUGCCUGCUCGCUGCAUAGCUGCAGCCCCUCCAGCGCCAGCAGGAUGUUGGAUAGCUGUUGCGGGAUAAAUGCUGCAGCGAGCUCCGGUUUCCGGAGCUGCUGCAGUGCCUCCCCGCACAGCGCCUCAACUGCUGACCGGUACUCUGGUCCUGUGCACCCCAGAGCUUUGAGAGCCCAUAGGCUGUUUGAAACAUCUUGCGGCUUGAAGCCGUGGCCCGCCACCGUUCUCAAGCGAGAAGCCACAGCUGCCGCCAAGGUCUGCAAGUGCGGAGAUGAGGUGGGGUCCCAGCCUGAGCCCCGCUGCUGCUGGUCUUGCUUGAGCUUGCCGAGCGCGUACAUGACAAUUGCGAGGUUCUGAGGUUCCGCCUUCCCAAGAACCUCAGGAUCCACUAGCCGCUCCAGCAGAGCUGCUGCAAGCUGAGCCUCCGUGCCGCCGCCGACCAAUCCAGCUUUGCCCAGCGCCCACAGCGGAAUGCUGCAGUUCUUUGCGUUGCGGAUGCGCGGCACGAGCGGCAGGUAGGCCGGCGCAAGCAUGCCGAUAAUGCUGCUGCGUGCUACAGCCGUUUGGCUUGCUCCAGCGCGCGACUCCAGCUGCGUUCAAAGCAGUUAUGAGGGACAUACAUGGGGUCAAGUGCUAUAUGCAUGUGUUUGUGCGUGUGCGUGAACAGGUGCGCAUGCAAGUCCUGUGUGGCCAUCUGCGUCGUGAGAACCGGAAGUCCGGGCCGAGAACGACAACAAUGGACUCGCCCUCCAUUCUGCACUUCAUUUCUGUGCCCAUUCCCACCUGCACGUAUUAGUCCUCCCUCUCACCUUGCCGCACAGGUUGAACGCCGCACACAUGGUAAUGAAGUCUUUUCGGCCCUCCCACACUGAUAGCCGCUGGCUGAUGAUUGCUUGCAGCUCCUCCAGAGUCCGACACACGGUCAUGUCAUCCGCGGGGUCACGCCCGCUGCCCCUGCUUCUGCCGCUGGCGCGGCUGCCAUCGCCUGCCCUGCCUCCGCCGCUUCCCCUACCCGCCGCCGCCUGCACUAUUGGCCGCCCGAGGCGGGAGCUACUGCUGCCGCAGAGCACUACCGCCGUCGAGACGCGCAGUGGGGAUGAGCUGCUACUGUUGAGUGCUGGGACAGAAGUAGCGGCGGCAGCGCGCGGUGAGCUGGGGCCGGUGUCGGCAGCGGUCCGAUGCAUGCCAUAAACGAACAGUCUUCUAAACGCGCACGCCGGUGGCGGUGCCUGGAGACGGGCUGAUAACGAUUGGCUACAGCCAUGUACGCUGUGCCUGUGCGCACCAGCGGGAGAGCCCGCGACGACGCGCAGGGCGAGCAUCUCGGGCCUCCUCACGGCGGCGACCUGAGCUAUAGCGACUCUAUCCGUCUACGUGUCUGAGCACUGCAAAUGCAUUAGGCUUGCAUUUGUGGGAGAAUAACGCAAGGAACGAAAGGUCAGGUGCGUGUAGGUCGCUGGGCCAAAGCCGCCUGAGUAGCUGUGGCUUGGUAUGGAUGAUAAAGCAACUGAAUCAAUUUGCCACCGGUGUUGAGGCGAGGGCGACCUGACCGCGAAAUACACGGCCCGAGGGCACGCCCCGUAUCAACACCCCUCGCGACCUCCAAACACGUGCACUGAACCGCGAAGCCCUCCCCCAAGCCUAUCGCGGCUGCUAUUCCCAUGUCCUCCUCCCCAACCAUUCUGCAUACAGGCUCUGGCGUGAGUCCCUGCCCGCGUCAUUUGACACCCGUCGACCACGACUGAGGUGCAACGCAUGUCGCUUACAAAUCCAACAUCCCGCCCGACACGAGAGGGGCAGAAACGGCGGGGCAGACGGCCAGCCUCUUGAACAUGAGCAUAGCAGUGCAAUAUCGCACAUUGGGUCCCCGCCUGCUUCACCUGGCCACCUUUGCUGAUUUGUCUGACAUCCCUGUCUACACACUUUUAUCCGCCCACGCUUGAGACGUCCUCCUCAGCGCGCAGGCUUCACGGUACCAACCGUGCGGUAUCAUCGCUACAUGAUGAGUGCACUGCCCCAACCAUUGAAGCAUCACAAGGUGCUUGCCUGCCGCCGCCGCCGCUGAUACGUACACGAUUGCUGCCACACAACCAACACAUCACACCCAACAAUCACAACAACAAAACAACUGAGACCCGCCGCCGCGCAACGCACACUGCUGUACACGCCCCAGGGCCGAGAACACAACGCAACACAAGCACCUGACAUGCCUCAUCCAGGCAUGCGUCACUCAAUCGCCCACCGAGCCGACCUCGCACACGCCGUUCGUGAGCCCCUGCGGCUGACAUGCCCGGCCCUGCCCCCUUGGCACCGCAGCCCUGCCGCCUUGGCACCGCCGCCCAUUGCCCCACCCCCAUGCUGCGUGCCAUGUAAGAAUAAAGCCAGGUCCCCAUCAAGCCGCAGCAUAUAUCCCCGCCAAGCCACCACACUCCUCUUGCCGCACGCUACCAACCACCACCAGCACAGGACCGGCACCUGCCUGUCCCCCUGUUUAGUUUGGGCUGAUAUUUACAACCCCCCACCCUCCCCUCCCCACCUUCCCCAUUGCCAACCUCGCCCACCGCGCCGACAUACACGCCGGCACCUCGCUCGUGCCUCUCGAGGCCUCCCAUCUUCCGUAGCUAGAGAUCCCCAUCCACUAGCAUCCACUUGGGCUCCAGCCCACUCCUGAUGCACACGCCAGCAUUAUCCAGGUCUGCAUGGUUUGCAUGUCUGCCUACCGUGCACGCACACCUGCCUAGCUACGCCGACCUACUACCGUCCUCCUCGACCCGACCCGCCGCCGCCGCCGCCUCCCUCUGGCCGCCGUGCCGGCCGCACCAGCAGCUGCUGUUGUGGGUUGCCGCCAGAGCCGCCGCCGCCCUUGCUGGUAGUGGUGGUGGUUGCGGGCUGCUGCGGCGCGGCCGUAAUGACAGCCGCAGCGCCGCCCACGGCACCCACUGCCACUGUUUCCACCGCCACCGCCGGCUGCUGCAGCCGGCGCAGCAGGUAGGCCUCCUGCUCCUCCGGGCUCUUCAGGCCCGCCCACUCCCAGUACGGCAGCACAAGAACGCCGCCGCCCUCCCCGAACGCCCGCCGCAGCUGCCGAAUGCGCAUGGCCGUACCACCGUCAACAGCGGUGGGGUCGCGCUUUAGAUUGGACAGAAAGCGUGCCGGUCCGAGGAGCUCCACCGCCGCCUGCUGCCCGUCACUCAGCCGCACCACCGCAUCCACUGGCGCCAACGCGCCUUGCGCGACCACGCCCGUUUGUACGGACACGACGGCAAGGCCUCCUGCUGCCUCACGCCCCUGGUGCUGCUCAAGCCGCCGCAGCGCUGCGACGACCUGCUUUUGGAUGUCAGAUGUGGGCUUGGCGUUUUCCCUCUCAGCAGUCACCGCCGCUGCCAUCGCCGCCUGCAGGCCGGGGCUGCUCCCCAGGGCCGCCGCAACCUCGCCGCCUAGCUCUUGCUGCGCCUGCCACAGCUGAUUGAGAUUCUCAGUUGUAAAACCCUCCCAACGGCUUACUGCUUCACGGGCUAGCUGAAUGGAUAGCUGCUGCAUGUCGGGAGAAUACGUGCCUCCAAUCACCGCCAUGGCCCACAGGCUGUUUGAUAUGUUUUGGUUGUUUACCGCCUGCCUGUCGCGCUGCAGCAGCUCGCCCAGCCGGCCGCACACCGCCGCCUCCAAGCCAGCGUGCCGCAGCUGCAGCACCGCCAGCGCCCAGAGCGUGUUUGCACAGUUCUGACCACCGGCACUACUGGCGCGCAUGGCUGCUGCUGCUGCACCCGCAUCCAGCAGCUCCGGCGGCGGCUGGUGGCGCAUCAACGCAAGCGCGUACAGCAGGUUGGCCCAGGCCUGAGGCGUCGCACGGGCCAUGACGCCCGGCCGCAUUGCUGCGACCACCGCUGCCGAAGCCCACUGCCGCUGCUCUGCCGGCGCCUCCGGGCCCACCCCAAAUCCGAUCUUGGCCAGGGCCCACGCUGAGUUGCUGAGGUCCUGAGCCACGUACCCGGCAAAUCCCCGACGCACGUCCUCUGCGGCCACUGCCACCACCAGCUCUGCCUGCUCGCCGCCCAGCUGCAGCCCCUCCAGCGCCAGCAGGAUGUUGGACAGAUGCUGCGGCUUGAACGCUUCAGCAUCCUUCGGUGCUCGGAGCUGCCGCAGCGCCUCCCCGCACAGCGCCUCAACUGCUGAUCGGUACUCUGGUCCCAUGCAACCCAAAGCCGCAAACGCCCAGAGGGUAUUGGACAGAUGUUGCGUCUCCAUGCUGAGACUGAGCGCCGCUGCCGCCUCUGCCAGCGGCAGCAGGAGUUCCGGUUCCGGGUAACCCAGCUUGGCGCACGCCCAGAGAAUGUUGGACACGUCCUGUGCUGUGAAGCCGUGACCAACCGCCACUCCCAACCGGGAGGCCACAGCUGCCGCCAAGGUCUGCAAGUGCGGAGAUGAGGUGGGGUCCCAGCCUGAGCCCCGCUGCUCCUGGUCUUGCUUGAUCUUGCCGAGUGCGUACAUGACGUUUGUAAGACUUUGAGGUUUUGCAGUUCCAAGAACCUCUGAAUCCAACAGCCGCUCCAGCAGCGCUGCUAUGAGCUGAGCCUCCAUGGCCGAGCCGCCGCUGAUCCCUGCUUUCCCCAGCGCCCACAGCACGAUGCUGCAAUCAACCGCCUUGCGGAUGCGCGGCACGAGCGGCAGGUAGGCCGGCGCAAGCAUGCCGAUAAUGCUGCUGCGUGCUACAGCCGUUUGGCUUGCUCCAGCGCGCGACUCCAGCUGCGUUCAAAACAGUUAUGAGGGACAUACAUGGGGUCAAGUGCUAUAUGCAUGUGUUUGUGCGUGUGCGUGAACAGGUGCGCAUGCAAGUCCUGUGUGGCCAUCUGCGUCGUGAGAACCGGAAGUCCGGGCCGAGAAUGACAAC
rnacentral:lncRNA from 1 species